rnacentral:rRNA from 1 species
ACGGAGGGUGCAAGCGUUAAUCGGAAUUACUGGGCGUAAAGCGCACGUAGGCGGUUGAGUAAGUCGAAUGUGAAAGCCCUGGGCUUAACCUGGGAAUUGCAUUCGAUACUGCUCGACUAGAGUUUGGGAGAGGGAAGCGGAAUUCCGGGUGUAGCGGUGAAAUGCGUAGAUAUCCGGAGGAACACCAGUGGCGAAGGCGGCUUCCUGGCCCAAAACUGACGCUGAGGUGCGAAAGCGUGGGGAGCAAACAGG